UGUUCCGUGGCCCAGUUGGUUAAGGCGCACGACUGUUACCUUCGCUCACUCGAGCUGGUCGGCAUCGUGCGAUCGCGGGUUCGACUCCCUCCGGAACAG